AAACAGUCCGUACUUGUUUCUCUGUUUAGAUCCAGCGUGUUAUAAAUAUCUUACGACCUAACAGACCUUGAAGAAUCCAACUUUUUUAUCUCCAUUAUUAUAUAUUUUCGUUGACGGAAAGAUGUUAUAGUUACGUUAUAAUAUUAGAUGUGAUACUGUGUUUAAUAACGUAUUCCAUAUAGUAAUAUAUUUUGUAUUCAUUUGCCUCAAUUGUGACUAAUAGUUCAUAGAUAGUCACGUGAUCUAUAUCGUCUGCAAUUCUAUGAAAUUCAUCAUACAGAUGGAAUUCGAAAAGAGUCCAAGAGCAUUCCUUCCAAACCUCUCUGACAUGUUAUAUCAAAAUGGUUCAGGAAGUUUGAGGAAGAUUCUGUAAAAAAGACCCUGUUCAUUUUGACAAAUGUAUCUUUGGAAGAAAUGCUCCUCUGUGCAAAAAUGUUCUCUAACAAAUAGGCUUAGUGUGUAUUUAGCAACGGGGGCUUAUACCACUUCUAUGAUAUAUUUAGAUGUUACACUGUUAGCAAAUGUUCACAAUAAAAUUAUCUGUGAUAGUUUGUAUUUACUGUUAUUAGCAUGCAAACAAUGCAAACUAUACGCUAGAAUUACAAUAAAUUAUAUUUACAUUAUA
rnacentral:misc_RNA from 1 species